UACGGAGGGAGCUAGCGUUGUCCGGAUUGACUGGGCGUAAAGCGCACGCAGGCGGUUGCGCGCGUGGGGGGUGAAAUCUGGCCGCUUAACGGCCAGGCGCCAUCCCAUACGGCGCGACUGGAGUGAUGCAGAGGUCGAUGGAAUUGCCGGUGUAGUGGUGAAAUGCGUAGAGAUCGGCAGGAACACCCAAGGGGAAACCAGACGACUGGGCCGCGCCUGACACUCAGGUGCGACAGCGUGGGGAGCCAACCGG
rnacentral:rRNA from 1 species